UGUAGCAAUACAGGUGGCGCACGGCGCACGGGUGCGUAACACGUGGGUAACCUGCCCUUUGGUGGGGAAUAACUCCGCGAAAGCGAAGCUAAUUCCGCAUAAGAUCCGCAAGGAUGAAAGCCGAAAGGCGCCGAUGGAGGGGCCCGCGCACGAUUAGCUAGUUGGUAGGGUAAUGGCCUACCAAGGCUUUGAUCGUUAGCUGGUCUGAGAGGAUGGCCAGCCACACUGGAACUGAGACACGGUCCAGACUCCUACGGGAGGCAGCAGUGGGGAAUCUUGCACAAUGGGCGAAAGCCUGAUGCAGCGACGCCGCGUGGGGGAUGAAGCUUCUCGGAGUGUAAACCCCUUUCGAUCCGGACGAAUGCCCGCAAGGGAUUGACGGUACGGAUAUAAGAAGCCCCGGCUAACUACGUGCCAGCAGCCGCGGUAAUACGUAGGGGGCCAGCGUUGUUCGGAAUUACUGGGUGUAAAGGGUUCGUAGGCGGUGCGGCAAGUUGGGAGUGAAAUCUCUGGGCUCAACCCAGAGGCUGCUUCCAAAACUGCUGUGCUUGAGUGUGAGAGAGGCUCGUGGAAUUGCAGGUGUAGCGGUGAAAUGCGUAGAUAUCUGCAGGAACACCCGUGGCGAAAGCGGCGAGCUGGAUCACUACUGACGCUGAAGAACGAAAGCUAGGGGAGCAAACAGGAUUAGAUACCCUGGUAGUCCUAGCCCUAAACGAUCAGGACUUGGGGUGUCACCCGUUCGGGUGACGUCCCGGAGCUAACGCGUUAAGUCCUGCACCUGGGGGAGUACGGUAGCAAGACUGAAACUCAAAGGAAUUGACGGGGGCCCGCACAAGC
rnacentral:rRNA from 1 species